rnacentral:rRNA from 1 species
CUCAGAACGAACGCUGGCGGCAGGCCUAACACAUGCAAGUCGAGCGAUUGCAGCAAUGCAGGAGCGGCAGACGGGUGCGGAACACGUGGGAACAUACCCUUUGGUUUGGAAUAACUCAGGGAAACUUGAGCUAAUACCGGAUAAGCCCGCAAGGGGAAAGAUUUAUCGCCGAAGGAUUGGCCCGCGUCCGAUUAGCUAGUUGGUGAGGUAAUGGCUCACCAAGGCGACGAUCGGUAGCUGGUCUGAGAGGAUGAUCAGCCACAUUGGGACUGAGACACGGCCCAAACUCCUACGGGAGGCAGCAGUGGGGAAUAUUGGACAAUGGGCGCAAGCCUGAUCCAGCCAUGCCGCGUGAGUGAUGACGGCCUUAGGGUUGUAAAGCUCUUUCACCCACGACGAUAAUGACGGUAGUGGGAGAAGAAGCCCCGGCUAACUUCGUGCCAGCAGCCGCGGUAAUACGAGGGGGGCUAGCGUUGUUCGGAUUUACUGGGCGUAAAGCGCACGUAGGCGGAUCUUUAAGUCAGGGGUGAAAUGCCGGAGCUCAACUUCGGAACUGCCUUUGAUACUGGAGGUCUCGAGUCCGGGAGAGGUGAGUGGAACUGCGAGUGUAGAGGUGAAAUUCGUAGAUAUUCGCAAGAACACCAGUGGCGAAGGCGGCUCACUGGCCCGGUACUGACGCUGAGGUGCGAAAGCGUGGGGAGCAAACAGGAUUAGAUACCCUGGUAGUCCACGCCGUAAACGAUGGAUGCUAGCCGUUGGGGAGCUUGCUCUUCAGUGGCGCAGCUAACGCUUUAAGCAUCCCGCCUGGGGAGUACGGUCGCAAGAUUAAA